ensembl:lncRNA
ACAGGGGGUACCGGUACAGAGUCAAUGUGGAGGCUAUAUACAGGGGGUACCGGUACAGAGUCAAUGUGGAGACUAUAUACAGGGGGUACCGCUACAGAGUCAAUGUGGAGGCUAUAUACAGGGUGUUACGGUACAGAGUCAAUGUGGAGGCUAUAUACAGGGGGUACCGGUACAGAGUCAAUGUGGAGGCUAUAUACAGGGUGUUAUGGUACAGAGUCAAUGUGGAGGCUAUAUACAGGGUGUUACGGUACAGAGUCAAUGUGGAGGCUAUAAUGUGGAGGCAUAUAAGUCAUUUAGCUCGUCUGGUAGGCUCGUGUCACCGGGCAGCUCACGGCUGUGCUUCCCUUUGUAGUCUGUAAUAGUUUUCAAGCCCUGCCACAUCCGACAAGCAUCAGAGCCGGUGUAGUACGAUUCAAUCUUAGUCCUGUAUUGACGCUUUGCCUGUUUGGUGGUUCGUUGGAGGGAAUAGCAGAUUUCUUAUAGGCUUCCGGGUUAGAGUCCCGCUCCUUGAAAGCGGCAGCUCUUCCCUUUAGCUCAGUGUGGAUGUUGCCUGUAAUCUAUGGCUUCUGGUUGGGGUAUGUACGUACAGUCACUGUGGGAACCCUGGCAUUCCUCUGCUAUGUUGUGUUCCAUGAUGUUGCCUGUAAUCUAUGGCUUCUGGUUGGGGUAUGUACGUACGGUCACUGUGGGAACCCUGGC